rnacentral:snRNA from 1 species
AGCUUUGCGCAGUGGCAGUAUCGUAGCCAAUGAGGUUUAUCCGAGGCGCGAUUAUUGCUAAUUAAAAUAAGGACCAAGAACAGAAUCCUGGCCAUCUACAACUAGCCAACAUUUCCUCAGAGAUGCCCAUGUCUAGAAUAUAGAAGAAAAAUUGGUCAGUUAU